rnacentral:misc_RNA from 1 species
AACUGAUACUACCUGCGGGAACCUGCGGAAGGAUCAUUACCGAGUUUACAACUCCCAAACCCCUGUGAACAUACCACUUGUUGCCUCGGCGGAUCAGCCCGCUCCCGGUAAAACGGGACGGCCCGCCAGAGGACCCCUAAACUCUGUUUCUAUAUGUAACUUCUGAGUAAAACCAUAAAUAAAUCAAAACUUUCAACAACGGAUCUCU